rnacentral:lncRNA from 1 species
CCCCUGCCUCCCUUGUCUCCACCCGCCUAGAUCACUGUCUCACAGUCAUUCUGUGGAACUUCCUCUGUGUCUCUCACUGGAGCCGCCUAACUUCCUCUCCCACCUCCCUUCAUCAAGGAGCAGUCUCAUGCCCAGGAGCUAGAAAUGUAGGCUUUGCCGGCAUUGGUUGAGCUGUGCUGGGCCCUAGGCAGCGAUGACUCAAACUUGACCCUUAACCCCCAGGCAGGGGUCUCCCUCCCUCCCCGUCCUUAAGUGGGGCGGGCACUUAGCCCAGGGUGGUGAUAUGACCCAGUCCUAUCCAAUCACCAUGGUCCCGCCUCCUGGCUACCACAAUUGGCUCAGGGAUGAGCACGUGGCCCAUAGCAGCCCAGUGAGAGUCAGCCCUGGGUGGGAACUGGUGGGAAAGAAUUCUGCUGGAGCAUCUGGAGUUGCUCAAAUGGAGUGGCUGUGGCCAUCUUUCCUUACACGUGGGGAGGAAUCAGCCUGAGAAUGAAACCAUCACAGGAAAGGGCUGAAAGACGGCAAGUUUUCACUGGGUCUUACCCGACGUGAGCCCCCACUCCUCCAUAUGGACCUGUUUUGGACCAAUGAGGCAUCCUCUUCUGUAGUCCUCAACACGCGGAGCUCCACCACUCCUGAGCAGUGUGACCUCAGGUGGGGUUGGGGAGAGGCCUCGGGAUGGCAAGGACCAGGGUCUGCGGCCAAGCCUGUGGGUCCUGUCUCCCUCUAGGAUGCCCCUGGGACACUGGUACCCAUGGAUGCACUGGGUGACUUGAGGUCAAUGGCUUUCUCUCUCCAGACCUAGGCAGAAAAAGCAAUCUGCUUUGCAUCAGAGAACCUCAAGAGGCUCUUAAUCCUGCUCUUUUCUCCCUCUGGGCUCCCUCCGUGAUGAGCUCAUCUGACCUCCUGGCAACCCCGAAGGGUGGUUUAGAGCAGGGAAUCAGCCUCCCGAUUUACAGAAAGGAUAACUCAGGCCAGGGAAGCGACUUGGACAGGGUCCUGCAGGGACUCAGUGAAGGAGGCUUCGGAACCCAGCCUGUCUUCCAGCAGGCCAGGAAUCAGCAAAUCUGGCUACCUGUUUUUUUAUUUUUAUUUAUUUAUUUAUUUUGAGACAAAGUCUCGCUCUUGUCAUCCAGGCUGGAGUGCAAUGGCAUGAUCUCGGCUCACUGCAACCUCCGCCUCUGGGGCUCAAGCGAUUCUCCUGCCUCAGCCUCCUGAGUAGCUGGGAUUACAGGUGCCUGCCACCACGCCCAGCUAAUUUUUGUAUUUUUAGUAGAGAUGGGGUUUCACCAUGUUGGCCAGGCUGGUCUUGAACUCCUGACCUCAGGUGAUCUGCCCGCCUUGGCCUCCCAAAGUGCCGGGAUUACAGGCCUGAGCCACUAUGCCCAGCCCACCUGAUUUUUUUAAAAUAAAGUUUUAUUGGAACAAGCCAUGCUUAUUCAUUUACAUAUUGUUCCUGGCUGCUUUCACCAUGCAACAACAGAGUUGAAUACAGAUGCUCUUCAAUUUACAGUGGGGUUACUUCCCAGUAAGCCCAUAAAUUGGCCUGUGGUCCCAGCUAACUUGAAAGGCUGAGUGGGAGAAUCACUUGAGCCUGGGAGGUCAAGGCUGCAGUGAACCCUGAUGGCGCCACUGCACUCCAGCCUGGGUGACAGAGUGAGACCCUGAGUGAGGGUCCCAAGUAGCUGGAAGCCUACAGGUGCAUUCCGCCAUGCGCGGCCCUUUUUUUUUUUUUUUUUUUUUUUUGGUAGAGACUGGAUUUUACCAUGUUGCCCAGGCUGCUGUUGAACUCCUGGCUUCAAGUGAUCCUCCUACCUUGGCCUCUGUAAGCAUUUACAGGGAUUACAGGCAUGAGCCACUGUGCCCAGCCCUGAAUAUUUAAUCAACAUGUAAGGGUGUAGCUCAAUGAUUUUUCACCCACUGAACACACCUGCAUGACUUGCAUCUGCAUCAAUAAACAGAAUAUCACUAAUCCCCAGUCCCCUUCUUAUCCCUGUCUAGUCACUACCCCUCGAAGUGUGGCCGACACCCUGACUUCUACCUGCACCGAUUUCUUUGGCUUAUUUUUUAGCUUUACAUACACAGAAUGAUGUAGUGUGUGCUCUUGUGUGUCUAGCUUCUUUCACUCAACAUGGUAUUUGUGAGAUUCAGUACUGCUGUGUGAGACUGUAUGUCAUUCAUUCUCAUUGCUGGAGAAUAUUCCGUGGGAUGAGUGUACCACAAUGUGCUUAUCCAUUCUUUGGACAUUUGAGAUAUUUCCAGCCAGGGUGGUGGGGAGAAUUAUGAAUUCUGGAGGAUCGCUUGAGGCCAGGAUUUCAAGACCAGCCUGGGCAACAUAGCCAAACCCCAUCCCAAAAAAAAUUUAAAAAUUAGCCAAGCAUGUGAUACACACCUUUAGUCCCAGCUACCCAGGAGGCUGAGGUGUGAGGAUCGCUUGAGCCCAGGAGUUGGAGAGUGCAGUAAGCCAAAAUUGUGCCACUGCACUCCAGCCUGGGCAACAGAGCAAGAUCUUAUCUAAAAAAAAAACGAAACAAAAAAAU